AAGACAUGGAAUUAUAGAACAGAAAAAAAUUGAGCAAAAUGAUUUUUUUCAUAGAUCCUUUCAAAGGAUAAGCAGUGGCAAAAAUUGACUGCAUGGUUAAUUGCCAACCCAGAACCAAUCAAGAAAAAGACACCCCUGAUUUGGUCUUACAUGCAAUUCACUCCUCCCCCAUAUCGGGAUGUAUCUUGGCUAAGAAGCCCCCUCCCCCUGAUUUGGUCUUGAUUUACCCCCCCCCCCCAAUAUCGGGAUGUGUUGGCUGCGCUGCUAGCUAGCUCGCUCUAUGUAUGUAAGUGUUGUUCUCGCACGCGCGCGCGCACGUACGCAUGUAACCGCCAAUUGCAAUAUUUGAAAAAAGAACCCGAUCAACCACUGUUUUGCUGUUCAGAAGUCCGUCUAUAAUUCAUCAUAAACUAAAGGAACACAGGUCAGAUUCGGACAACGACUUCAAAUUCAUUCGCAGAAUACGCUAAACAAUUGGACGACGGAUACACUGGAUGAUAAUGUAGAUGGUCCAGGAUUAUCUGAGAAGGAAACUACAGGUGUUGAACACAGAAAACGGUUUACAAGAAAACAACUGGAGUUUGUGAAAGCUGCAAGAAAUUAAUCUUGCCGGGUACGCAUUCACUUCACCUUGGUCGAGUGCAGCACAGUGGAUAAAUGUGUUGCUGAAGGAAAACACCAUUGCUAGGAUUCAAACCCACGACGCUCUGUUGAAAGGUGAGAGUCAGAACCACUAGACCACGACGCACCCACAGUUAACAAGCUGAUGUCAUACCCCCACUUGUUCUUUUGUAUUUUAUAACAAGAAGUCAUGUUUAUUCACAUUUUGACCUCCAAGAACUAAAAAGUGGAGUGAAGAUUUAUUUAAUGUAAACACAUGCAUUGCUUGAAAUCAUUUUAUGCUACGUGGGACAUAUCAUACACACGUGUACGAAAAUAUGAAAUUAUUAUGAUUUCAUUUUAUAACAUAAGCCUAACACAUAUUCCUGACGAUCAUGUGCACAUUCCAGUAAUUUUUCUCAAAAUGUUGCUAAACCUUCAAAUCAAAGACUUUGUUAUCAGAUUUUUACGAAAUUGUCAACAUUAUGCUUUUCUGAUUAAUUCUCUUCCUACCUAAAUCUCCCCUUUCCUCAUGCUGUCUUUUUAUGGUCCCCUUCAUUCUCCUUAUAACUAUGUUAUAUGUAAAAUGUAACCGGUCGUCCAACCCAUUUGAUUGAAGGGCUAGGUACUCUAGACUGAAAGUUAUGUGAUUUUAAUUCAAAGAGUACAUGAGACCAAAAAAAAAAAUGAAAAUUUCAUCAAAAUUGAAUGAGGAUUAACGAAAUUAUGAUGAAUUAAAGUUGUUAUUUUUUGGUAAAACUAUUCUCUGCAAGUCCUCAUGAAUAUACAAGAUCCCAAUUUAUAUAUUUUUUUGUAUUAUAUGAAUUCAAAUUUUGUCCAAGCUAGGUUGUAAAAAAUUACGAUUGACUACUGAUAUACUGUGUAAGACAAAAAUUAUAUUAUUUCUCACACAUAGUUGAGUUAUUCAUCUGAUUCAACACAACAAAAAUAGACAAAAAAGAAAUAAGUGGGAAUCUUGUAUAUUUGAACUAUGGGAAAUAGUUAAAAAAUAGAUGUGCUACUAAGAAUUAUUUUCUAUAUGAUUUGCAAAAUAUUUUAAAAAAAUGUCGCUAUUUUUCUUGUUUUUUUUUCUAUUUUCAUGAUAUAUUCUUUAUUAUUCUAUUAUUCUAUAUAUUCUAUUUUUGAUAUAGAUAUUAUUUAUUUCUUUAUGUAUCUUUAAUGUAUUUAUGAUAAACUUUUGGCAUGUUUCUACAGAAAAUCAUUAAAAAGGAUUUAUCUUUUCCGGACUCGAAAAACCUUAUUGCCCUUAAACCAACCUGCUUCUACAAACCGAAUAAUCUGAUUAACUCGCUUUUCACGUUGCAAAUACGGCGGAAAUUGGAAAAUUCAACCUAUAACCUCACGUUGCAUUGUACAUAUGUCCAAAAUUGCAUCUUCUAAGGAAAAUUUUCAAAAUUUGUGGUAGAUCUCACUCAAUGUAGCAGGUAUACGUGUUGCACGAUCAGCUGGCGAGAUCGAAAAGGCCAGAAUGUGCAAAUUUAUUUACUGCGAAAUUGCACUUCCGGGAUUAAGCACUUCCGCCAGACACGAUACGCUAUUUUGCCGUGUGUUUUUACAGAAAAGUUAAACGGAUUAACAUGGCAAUAACCACCUCUCAGAGAUGGUUAUGAGAAACCAUAUUUUGCUUGAAACAGUUUAUCAAUAAACUGCAUCGCGUCUGUUUCUACAAAAUUCUACAGGAAAGUUUUCCGGGAUUCUGGAUACUUACGCGGGUAAUACCUUUUAACGAUUCUAUGUAGAAACACGCCGUUUGAUAUAUCUUUUAGGUGAAAAGAAAAUAGAGAAAUAUUAGGAGGUUCUAUUUUUAUGGGGGUACUAUUUUCCCCCCUUUUGGGGAUAUUUAUUUCCUCUAAGUUUGGUACUCUUUACCUUUAAUCAUUUGGUCAUGUGAAGGCUAUCACACAUUUUGAGUUUAAUCUUCGAAAUUUGGUGUUCAUCAGUUUGUUGUCCAAACUCUGUCUUACAUUUAGAUUUGUUUAUAGGAAGAUUAACAUAAUAUCUAUGUGGAGUGCAAUCAUUGACCUCUUGUAGAGUCGUGCAGUCACAUGUAUUCAUAAUGCUGGUGCUUUUAUGCCAUACAUGUACUUGUCAAUACUGGGUUCUACUCUUUUGUACUUGAACUUAUUAGUAAAAAAAAUAUUUUAUUAAUGUCAUUGAAGUAGCUGUGUGAAAGCAAUUACACGCAACAGAUUUAAAAUCAAGGUUAUUGUAUUACAAGUAUCAGGUUUGUUUGCAGAACAGUGGUUUUGCCAAGUACUCAAUCCACGUAAAAAGCCAUCAGAGAGAACAUGUUUAUUCUUGGAAAUGUUAUUCAUUUGUUGUGCUUUUCAAUUAAACUCUGUCUUGAUACAUGUUUAUUUUAGAUACCAAGAUUGACAGAGUAUAGAUGUCAACGAGGAGCAAAGUCAUAUAUUCAUAACUUAUGUGCUUUAAUUAUAAAGUCUAUACUUGUGAAUACUGUGUUCCAUUUAUGCUGUACUUAAACUUCUUAUAGUAAAAACAUUUGACGUUCUUGAAAUAACUGUUUUCAUCAUUUUUUUCUUGUGCAUACUUAAUCCAUUAUCAAACCUACCAUUAACCCGAGCUAUAUAUGCUGUUCACCAUUGGUCUACCAUUCACUGUACUUUAUUGGCCUACUAUACAUUGUACACCUUUGGUCUACUAACUAUCAUUCAGUGUAAACCAUUGGUCUACCAUUCACAGUACACUUGUGGUCUAUAAUGUAUGGCCAAUGGUGUAAAUUGAAUGGUUGACCAAUGGUAUAGAGUGUAUGGUAUGGCAAUGGUGUACAGUGAACGGUAGGCCAAUGGUGUACGGUAAAUGGUAGGUCAACGGUGUAUGGUAAGCCAAUGGUGUACGGUGAUUGGUAGGUCAAUGGUGUAUGGUGUAUGGUAGGCCAAUGGUGAACUGUAAAUGGUAGGUCAAUGGUGUGCGGUGUAUGGUAGGCCAAUGGUGUACAAUGUAUGGUAGGUCAAUGGUGUAUGGUGAAUGGUAGGGCAAUGGUGAACGGUGUAUGGUGAA